AUGCAAGUCGAGCGGGGGAAGGUAGCUUGCUACUGGACCUAGCGGCGGACGGGUGAGUAAUGCUUAGGAAUCUGCCUAUUAGUGGGGGACAACAUCUCGAAAGGGAUGCUAAUACCGCAUACGUCCUACGGGAGAAAGCAGGGGAUCUUCGGACCUUGCGCUAAUAGAUGAGCCUAAGUCGGAUUAGCUAGUUGGUGGGGUAAAGGCCUACCAAGGCGACGAUCUGUAGCGGGUCUGAGAGGAUGAUCCGCCACACUGGGACUGAGACACGGCCCAGACUCCUACGGGAGGCAGCAGUGGGGAAUAUUGGACAAUGGGGGGAACCCUGAUCCAGCCAUGCCGCGUGUGUGAAGAAGGCCUUAUGGUUGUAAAGCACUUUAAGCGAGGAGGAGGCUACUUUAGUUAAUACCUAGAGAUAGUGGACGUUACUCGCAGAAUAAGCACCGGCUAACUCUGUGCCAGCAGCCGCGGUAAUACAGAGGGUGCGAGCGUUAAUCGGAUUUACUGGGCGUAAAGCGUGCGUAGGCGGCUUAUUAAGUCGGAUGUGAAAUCCCCGAGCUUAACUUGGGAAUUGCAUUCGAUACUGGUGAGCUAGAGUAUGGGAGAGGAUGGUAGAAUUCCAGGUGUAGCGGUGAAAUGCGUAGA
rnacentral:rRNA from 1 species